GACGAACGCUGGCGGCGUGCUUAACACAUGCAAGUCGAGCGGUAAGGCCCUUUCGGGGGUACACGAGCGGCGAACGGGUGAGUAACACGUGGGUGACCUGCCCUCAGCUCUGGGAUAAGCCUGGGAAACCGGGUCUAAUACUGGAUAUGACUCCAUGACGCAUGUUGUGGGGUGGAAAGCCUUGUGCGGCUGAGGAUGGGCCCGCGGCCUAUCAGCUUGUUGGUGGGGUGANGGCCUACCAAGGCGACGACGGGUAGCCGGCCUGAGAGGGCGACCGGCCACACUGGGACUGAGACACGGCCCAGACUCCUACGGGAGCAGCAGUGGGGAAUCUUGCGCAAUGGGCGAAAGCCUGACGCAGCGACGCCGCGUGAGGGAUGACGGCC
rnacentral:rRNA from 1 species